CAUUAUUGAAUAACUUGGUGUUGAGCUGGCUCUAUUGGGCAUGUGCUCGCAUCAUAUUAUUUAUCUAUCUCUUGUGCACCUUUUGUAGUCUUUGAAGUGUUCGCAGUCAAUGCGAUUUGGGGCUUGGGCUUUGCGGUCCUUUCCCUGUUUGCUUCAAAGGCUAUGUUUUAUACACACUAUUGAAGUUACAGAAUGUCUCUUAUUGACCUUUGAGUCAGUAAAUCAAUACAACUUUCAGCAACGGAUCUCUUGGCUCUCCCAUCGAUGAAGAACGCAGCGAAAUGCGAUAAGUAAUGUGAAUUGCAGAAUUCAGUGAAUCAUCGAAUCUUUGAACGCACCUUGCGCCCUUUGGUAUUCCGAAGGGCAUGCCUGUUUGAGUGUCAUUAAAUUCUCAACCUUGCAAGCUUUUUUGCUAGCGAGGCUUGGAUGUGAGGGCUUUUGCUGGCUUCCUCAUUGGAUGGGCUGCCCCCUUAAAUUCAUUAGUGGGAUCCUUUGUGGAUGGUCACUUGGUGUGAUAAUUAUCUACGCCGCCCGACUUGAAGCAAGACUUGUGGGAACCUGCUUAUAACCGUCUCUUUGGAGACAAGAA
rnacentral:rRNA from 1 species